rnacentral:rRNA from 1 species
AAGGAUUAAGCCAUGCAAGUGUCAGAGUAACUGGAUUAAGAAGAGGUCUGCGUACGGCUCAUUACAUCAUCAAUGAUCUACCCAGCGUAGUACCUUUCUAAGGUACCAGUUGGAUAACUUCGGUAACUCCGAAGCUAAUACACGUAUGAAAAAGCUUGCCCCCGUUCAAGCCUUGAGGGGAAACCCAAGAGGUGGGGGUGGGUUGCAGUUGGCCGAUACGAGAACCAACGAUCGAUGAGAUCAGUAACUGUUGAGGCAGGCCAAUAUUGCGAAAGCGCACAUCCUCGCGAUGGCGCGAUGCUGGACGAAUUUAUGCCCUAUCAGCUUUAGAUGGUAGGGUAGUGGCCUACCAUGGCCUUGACGGGUAACGGGGAAUUGGGGUUCGAUUCCGGAGAGGGUGCCUGAGAGAUGGCAACCAUACAUAAGGGAAGCAGCAGGCGCGCAAAUUACCCAAUGCCAAUACUGGUGAGGUAGCGACGAAAAAUAACAACUCUGCUGCACACACGUGUAGUGGAGAUUGUAAUGGAUUGUAUCCAAAACCACUGCUGAGUAUCAAUUGGAGGGCAAGCCCGGUGCCAGCAGCCGCGGUAAUUCCGGCUCCAAUAGCGUAUAUUAAUGUUGUUGCGGUUAAAAAGCUCGUAGUUGGAUUCAGGGAUUAUGGUUGUGGCGAGCCUCUCAGUUCUCUUGGCCGUUAUGGCUCUGCCAUGGCGUGUCUUGAGGCUGUUUGGGUCAACUCGUCACACUAGACCAUGACCCUUUGUACGUGGUAAAGCUCAGUCGAUGAAGGUCUCUUAAUUGAGAUUGGAAUCACCCUCGCUGUCAAUUACACAGCUUACACUGCGACCACGGAUGUUACUGUGAGUAAAACAGAAUGCUUCAGGUAACCGACUCGUUCGGUCUGAAUGAUUCAGCAUGGAAUAACAAGGGAUCGACCACUUUUGGCAUCUUUUGUUGGUUUUCAUACCAAAGUGCGGCAACUCGGUUCAGGUUUCUCGCCAGGUCAGCUUCCUUCCUUCUGGUUGGUUGUCUUGCCUGUGCGGGCCCUGUUUCCAUCGGGAUCAAUAGAGGCAGUUGGGGCAAUCCGUACUUCCGGGUGAGAGGUGAAAUUCUUAGACCCCGGAAAGACGAACAUCAGCGAAGGCAGUUUGCCAAUCUGCUUUCAUUAAUCAAGAACGAGAGUGAGGGGAUCGAAGAUGAUCAGAUACCGUCGUAGUCCUUUACCGUAAAUUAUGCGGACUUGGGAUCGGUCACUGCUCUCUUAGUGACUUGAUCGGCACCUCCCCCUUUAUCGAGAAAUCAAAGUUUUUGCGUUCCGGGGGGAGUACAUUCGCAAGGCUGAAA